UCCGGACCGUUCCUUCUUCAGUGGGGACCUUUGUCGUCGCAUUCAGAGUAUUGCGGGGAGUCUAGAUCUGGUUUAAAAAGCUCUGACAGGAGGAGGGGUUUUUUUUUUCUUUCCUCCAAAAAAUGCUAUGUUGUUGCGAGGGAAAUGUCUUCAGGGGCGUCGAUCCUUUUUACUUGAAAAUAUGUUUUGCUUUCUUAAAGUUGGUAAUGUCAAGACGUUUAGAGCCAGUAAGAUGAAGGAGUGUUAUUUUGGCCCUUCUUUUACAUUAAGAAGUUAAUUUAUUGUGAUGUGUUAUUAUGAUUAAUAACAUCAUGUCUACAAUGUUAGUUCUGCUUUUAUAUCGGGCUUAAUAAACUCAAAAGGGAAAAAUGUAAAUGUCAGAGUGAAGCAGUCCAAUCUUAGCUAAAAAUACCUAAUGCUUUUCAACAAAGGUUUCAAAGUUAAGGUGUUCAAAAAAAGCAGGAAUUUUCACCCACUGUACGUGCAAAUCCACCUGUAUUCUUUUUUUGAUAAGAUAAAAUGAUUAAACUCAUUAAGAUAUUGUCCACAGGUUUAGUUCCCUGAUUACAUUUAUAGCUUCUGCUUCAGGAAAACAAAAUAAUUCUAUGUGUGUAUAUAUAGCCUUAUAGCAUAAUAAAUAUACUUAGUAAUGUUUUUAAGCAUCAUUUUAUUGGUAAAGAGCUGCACAGUCUUUAUUGAUGUAGUUAGUACAAUAAAAUUUUGUAACACAGGCUAAUAAAGAAGCUCUAUGUGAGCAGCAUAACCCCAUAAAGGCAUUUCUACCAAAUCACUCAUUCUCUACUACUAAUUCUCACCCACAGUAGGAUGUUGCCCUCACAGCUGAGCAAGCAAAACAGUUUGUGGGACCAUACACCGAGCCAGGUCAAGGAGCUGAUUCAGCUGAAAUACAACCCAAUAGAAAAGGAAAGUUGCUUAAUUUGCUCGGUAGUUGCCUGGCAAACCUGUUCAACGGGCCAGAAGGCAUGAAACUGUAAAAAAAUGAUCGUUGGGACUAAGCAUGGAUGAAAAGUCUUGAAUGUGAUGUAGAAAUAUCUUUACCAUUGAAGACAGUACAAUUUGGGAUAAGGACCCGGCACAUGCAAGAACUGGCACAUGGAGUAUAAUCGCCAGGGAGCUCUGUUCAACAGCGCAGUGUUAAACUAAGUCCAAAUGAAACAUUUGCCUUUGAUGUGACAAACUGAAAUACAAUGUGUCUCUCCACAAAUGUCAAAAUGUUUCAUACUACUUGAAAAUAGUUAAAGGAAACAUUCAGGAAUGCAUCAAGCACUUUCGUAUACUAUGAUGCUUAAAAUAUAUUUCUAUUUAGUCACUUUUGUUUCUGAACGCAAUAAAAAUAAUCACAUCAGGUUGUGUGUCAGAUCACAAGGUUACAAUGUGAGCACUUAGAUUAUAAGUAACAAACUAACACACAGGAUUCCCCCUGAAUUCUCAAAAUACUCAUUUUGCAGGCGAAGCUUAUAGACUUUAAUUUCAAUAAGAUACAUUGUAUCCUUUGAAUGCAAUGAAUAAAUUGAAUCCCUGAUUUAAAUCCAAAACUAAUUUAAUUUUAAAUGAGUCAUAAAGUCCUGAUCAGUGUCUGUAUAUGUUCCAUUCAUACUAAUUAAGUGCCAUGUGGCCCUUGAAUUUCUUGACAUUUGCUUCUACUUUUAGUUAGGCAAAGAUAGACUCCUCCUCUAUAACCACCACUGAAAAGACUUUUAUUACAAUUUAAUGUAUGGCUUUCUUCUCAGUUUUUUUAUUUAUUUACUUAUCAUCUCGUCUUUGGAUCUUCUGGAAUUCACUGCAUAGCAUUACUAAAAUGUGAUACUUCCUCUACAGUUAGUUAAUAAAUAUUUUAGAUUAUAUUUGUUGAGUUUCAUGAGAAAAAGGUCAGUCAUCAUUUGGAUUCCUCACUGAAAUGCCGCAC